rnacentral:rRNA from 1 species
GAUGCAAACUGCGAAUACCGGAGAAUGUUAUCACGGGAGACACACGGCGGGUGCUAACGUCCGUCGUGAAGAGGGAAACAACCCAGACCGCCAGCUAAGGUCCCAAAGUCAUGGUUAAGUGGGAAACGAUGUGGGAAGGCCCAGACAGCCAGGAUGUUGGCUUAGAAGCAGCCAUCAUUUAAAGAAAGCGUAAUAGCUCACUGGUCGAGUCGGCCUGCGCGGAAGAUGUAACGGGGCUAAACCAUGCACCGAAGCUGCGGCAGCGACGCUGAUGCGUUGUUGGGUAGGGGAGCGUUCUGUAAGCCUGCGAAGGUGGCCUGUGAGGGUUGCUGGAGGUAUCAGAAGUGCGAAUGCUGACAUAAGUAACGAUAAAGCGGGUGAAAAGCCCGCUCGCCGGAAGACCAAGGGUUCCUGUCCAACGUUAAUCGGGGCAGGGUGAGUCGACCCCUAAGGCGAGGCCGAAAGGCGUAGUCGAUGGGAAACGGGUUAAUAUUCCCGUACUUGGUGUUACUGCGAAGGGGGGACGGAGAAGGCUAUGUUGGCCGGGCGACGGUU